rnacentral:rRNA from 1 species
UACGUAGGGAGCAAGCGUUGUCCGGAAUCAUUGGGCGUAAAGAGCGCGUAGGCGGUCCGGUAAGUCGGUUGUGAAAACUGGGGGCUCAACCCUCAGACGCCGACCGAUACUGUCGGGCUAGAGUCCGGAAGAGGCGAGUGGAAUUCCUGGUGUAGCGGUGAAAUGCGCAGAUAUCGGGAGGAACACCAGUGGCGAAGGCGACUACCUGGCCUGUUCUUGACGCUGAGGCGCGAAAGCUAGGGGAGCAAACGGG